rnacentral:rRNA from 1 species
UACGAAGGGUGCAAGCGUUAAUCGGAAUUACUGGGCGUAAAGCGUGCGUAGGUGGUUUGUUAAGUCUGCUGUGAAAGCCCUGGGCUCAACCUGGGAAUGGCGGUGGAUACUGAGGAGCUAGAGUGCGGUAGAGGAGGGUGGAAUUCCCGGUGUAGCGGUGAAAUGCGUAGAGAUCGGGAGGAACAUCAGUGGCGAAGGCGGCCCUCUGGACCAGCACUGACGCUGAGGCACGAAAGCGUGGGGAGCAAACAGG